GAUUAACGCUGGCGGCAUGCCUAAUACAUGCAAGUCGAACGAAAGUAGCAAUACUUUAGUGGCGAACGGGUGAGUAACACGUAUCUAACCUACCAUUUAGUGGGGAAUAACUGUUGGAAACGACAGCUAAUACCGCAUAUGUUAUUUAUUUGCAAUGAUAAAUAAUGAAAGGAGCAUUUGUUUCGCUAAUUGAUGAGGAUGCGGCGCAUUAACUAGUUGGUAAGGUAAUGGCUUACCAAGGUAACGAUGCGUAGCCGAUCUGAGAGGAUGAACGGCCACAUUGGGACUGAGACACGGCCCAAACUUCUACGGAAGGCAGCAGUAGGGAAUUUUUCACAAUGGGCGAAAGCCUGAUGGAGCAAUGCCGCGUGACUGAUGAAGAUCUUCGGAUUGUAAAGGUCUGUUGUAAGGGAAGAAGUGCUAGAAUAGGAAAUGAUUUUAGUAUCGACCAUACC
rnacentral:rRNA from 3 species